UUCAAAUCUGUAAAGAAUUUUUGUGAGUUUAUUUGAGCCAAACUGUCAAUAAUCACUGGGAAGCAGAAUCUCAAUGGAUUGGGAUAAUGCUCCAGAGAAUGGUGGUUUUCCACCUUGUUUUAUACAAAAUUUGUUGUCUAUAAGAGGCUUU